AUUGAACGCCGGCGGCAUGCUUUACACAUGCAAGUCGAACGGUAACAGGCCGCAAGGUGCUGACGAGUGGCGAACGGGUGAGUAAUGCAUCGGAACGUACCCAAUCGUGGGGGAUAGCCCGGCGAAAGCCGGAUUAAUACCGCAUAAGUCCUGAGGGAGAAAGCAGGGGAUCGCAAGACCUUGCGCGAAUGGAGCGGCCGAUGUCGGAUUAGCUAGUUGGUAGGGUAAAAGCCUACCAAGGCGACGAUCCGUAGCGGGUCUGAGAGGAUGAUCCGCCACACUGGGACUGAGACACGGCCCAGACUCCUACGGGAGGCAGCAGUGGGGAAUUUUGGACAAUGGGGGAAACCCUGAUCCAGCCAUGCCGCGUGAGUGAAGAAGGCCUUCGGGUUGUAAAGCUCUUUCGGACGGAAAGAAAUCGCACGGGCCAAUACCCCGUGUGGAUGACGGUACCGUAAGAAGAAGCACCGGCUAACUACGUGCCAGCCGCCGCCGUAAGAC
rnacentral:rRNA from 1 species